rnacentral:lncRNA from 1 species
GGAGAGGUGGCGCAACAGUUCCACCAGUCGUGGUGUGACGGCGCCCCCUCGUGGCUUUAUUGUGGAAUUGCAGGUAGGCUUACACUGUUAAUACUGGGUUAAUUCCUACACGUGUAAACAUGCUUUUUGGAAUUACCACAGUUAUCCAAGUAACGGAUGGGAGCGAUCAAAGGGACCAUAACUGAUUUAAUGAGCCAUUCGCAGUUUCACUGUACCGGCCGUUCGUACUCAGACUUGCAUGGCUUAAUCUUUGAGACAAGCAUAUGUUACUGGCAGGAUCAACCAGGUAGCGCGCAAGCGACACCCCGCCUCAGGCCCCCGCGGGGACGCCUAGGCGACGCGCCCCAAACCGCCCCACAGCCCCGCCAAACCCCAAGACUGUAACCUGCCCCCCCUCCGCGGACGAGGGGGCAGAGGCGAGGAGAGAGGCAGAGAGGGGCGGAGAGAGAGCGCGCGCAAGGGGAGACAGCGGGAGGCAAGAGGGAGAGGUGCGCGGCGGGACACGCGCGGAGAGGAGCGGCGGACGGGCGGACCGGACCCUACGCCCCCCACACCGGGAUUUCGGGGCCAUGCCGGGGGACUACACGGUGUCGGGGCGCGCGGGACGGGCGCCCAGGCCGCGCGCUCGCUCAGGCGCGCGCGCGCCCGCACGGCGCACGCCAGUGGAGGGAGGAAUUCGGAGUCGAGCUCGGGAGGCCGCCGCCGGCCUCCCCUCGCUCCCACCUUCGGACCGGAGAAACCAGAGAGCCUCGGCCGACGGGGGGGGUUCACGGGCGGGGCCACGGGGCCGCGGGCUCGGAGCCCGCCGCCACCGCGUCCCCCCGCGUCUCCCCGCCGGCGCAGGACGUGCACCUCGGGGGGGGACGAGACCGGUCGCCUCGGCCGCGCCGCAAAGAGUACUGCGCGCGUCGGAGCGCGGCGGCCGAAGCCCCCGGCGGUACAGCGGCGUAAAAGGGUAAGGGAGGAAGGCCGACUUCUCCCCGCGCGCCCACCCUCCUCCCCGCGGAGGCCGGGGGCCGGGCGGCGGGGGCCGCAGACCGAACGGGGGAACGGGCCGACCGUGCGGCCGACGCCGCUUAUCGAUCCCGCCGCGGGGUGUAGGAAGACGCUGGCUGAACGCCGCGGGUGCCGCGGCCCCCAGGUCCCCUACGCAUGCGGGUCUCGCGCGCCUGUCGGUCAGGAGAUGGUUGGUCGGAAGGGUCGGUCCGGCUGGGUCUCGCUCGGGAGGGAGGGCUCCUCUCCCUCUGUUCGGCGGCGGAACGCUCCCCGCCUCGCCCGGGAAACGCGCCUCUGGGGCCCGGGCAGCGCGCCCGGGUUGCCCCCUGUCCGCAUCCCUGGAGGUCGCGUCGCCGAGCAGCUCGCUCCUACUAUCGCGCCGACACCCCUCCGGGAAACCCCCCCCGCA